rnacentral:rRNA from 1 species
UGGCGGACGGGUGAGUAACGCGUAAAGAACUUGCCCUUUAGACUGGGAUAACAGAGGGAAACUUCUGAUAAUACUGGAUAAGUUAGUAUAUCGCAUGAUAUGCAAAUGAAAGCUACGGCACUAAAGGAGAGCUUUGCGUCCUAUUAGCUAGUUGGUAAGGUAAGAGCUUACCAAGGCGAUGAUAGGUAGCCGGCCUGAGAGGGUGGACGGCCACAAGGGGACUGAGAUACGGGCCCUUACUCCUACGGGAGGGCAGCAGAU